rnacentral:rRNA from 1 species
AACGCGAAGAACCUUACCAGGGAUUGACAUGACCGUAGUAGUGAAGCGAAAGCGGAACGACCCUUCGGGGAGCGGCCACAGGUGAUGCAUGGCUGUCGUCAGCUCGUGCCGUGAGGUGUUUGGUUAAGUCCACUAACGAGCGCAACCCCUGGCGCCAGUUACACGUGUCUGGCGCGACUGCCGGUAUUAAGCCGGAGGCAGGUGGGGAUGACGUCAAGUCAGCAUGUCCUUUAUACCCUGGGCGACACACACGCUACAAUGGCCAGUACAAUGGGUUGCCAAGCCGCGAGGCGGAGCCAAUCCUCAAAAGCUGGUCUCAGUUCGGAUUGCAGGCUGCAACCCGCCUGCAUGAAGUCGGAGUUGCUAGUAACCGCAGGACAGCUAUACUGCGGUGAAUACGUUCCCGGGCCUUGUA